rnacentral:rRNA from 1 species
GCUGGUCUGAGAGGAUGACCAGCCACACUGGAACUGAGACACGGUCCAGACUCCUACGGGAGGCAGCAGUGGGGAAUAUUGCACAAUGGGCGCAAGCCUGAUGCAGCCAUGCCGCGUGUGUGAAGAAGGCCUUCGGGUUGUAAAGCACUUUCAGCGAGGAGGAAGGUGGUGAACUUAAUACGUUCACCAAUUGACGUUACUCGCAGAAGAAGCACCGGCUAACUCCGUGCCAGCAGCCGCGGUAAUACGGAGGGUGCAAGCGUUAAUCGGAAUUACUGGGCGUAAAGCGCACGCAGGCGGUUUGUUAAGUCAGAUGUGAAAUCCCCGGGCUCAACCUGGGAACUGCAUUUGAAACUGGCAAGCUAGAGUCUCG